rnacentral:rRNA from 1 species
CUCUCGGGUAACCUACCACCCUUUGUUUAUUACACUUUGUUGCUUUGGCAAGCCUGCCCUCGGGCUGCUGGCUCCGGCCGGCGAGCGCUUGCCAGAGGACCUAAACUCUGUUUGUCUAUAAUGUCUGAGUACUAUAUAAUAGUUAAAACUUUCAACAACGGAUCUCUUGGUUCUGGCAUCGAUGAAGAACGCAGCGAAAUGCGAUAAGUAAUGUGAAUUGCAGAAUUCAGUGAAUCAUCGAAUCUUUGAACGCACAUUGCGCCCCCUGGUAUUCCGGGGGGCAUGCCUGUCCGAGCGUCAUUACAACCCUCAAGCUCAGCUUGGUAUUGGGCCCCGCCGCUUCGGCGGGCCCUAAAGUCAGUGGCGGUGCCGUCCGGCUCCGAGCGUAGUAAUUCUUCUCGCUCUGGAGGUCCGGUCGUGUGCUCGCCAGCAACCCCCAAUUUUUU